UGUGUCCCCACUGUGACAAGUUGAGAAUAAAAAAUCUUCAAACAAGAGGAGUCCAUCUGCUUGUCUUUAGAGGCAGCAAGAAAAUAAAUCUCUUGAUGGAGACGGUAUCGCUCUGCUGCCCAGGCUGCAGUGCAGUGGCACAAUCACAGCUGACGGCAGACUUGACCCCCCCAGGCUCAAGCGAUCCUCCCACCUCAGCCUCCAGAGUAGCUUGGACUACAGGUAUGUGCUACCAGACCUGGCUAAUUUUUAAAUUUUUUUGUAGAGAUGGGGUCUCACUAUAUUCCCCAGGAUGGUCUCCAACUCCUGGACUCAAGCAAUCUUCCCACCUCAGACUACAGGCAUGAGCCACCAUGCCCAGCCAUAUUGUUCAUUUUUAAGU
rnacentral:lncRNA from 10 species